GUGCACGCUGGCGGUAGGCCUAACCCAUGCCAGUCGCACGGCAGCACAGUAAGCGCUUGCUCUUACGGGUGGCGAGUGGCGGACGGGUGAGGAAUACAUCGGAAUCUACUUUUUCGUGGGGGAUAACGUAGGGAAACUUACGCUAAUACCGCAUACGACCUACGGGUGAAAGCAGGGGAUCUUCGGACCUUGCGCGAUUGAAUGAGCCGAUGUCGGAUUAGCUAGUUGGCGGGGUAAAGGCCCACCAAGGCGACGAUCCGUAGCUGGUCUGAGAGGAUGAUCAGCCACACUGGAACUGAGACACGGUCCAGACUCCUACGGGAGGCAGCAGUGGGGAAUAUUGGACAAUGGGCGCAAGCCUGAUCCAGCCAUACCGCGUGGGUGAAGAAGGCCUUCGGGUUGUAAAGCCCUUUUGUUGGGAAAGAAAAGCAGCAGGUUAAUACCCCGCUGUUCUGACGGUACCCAAAGAAUAAGCACCGGCUAACUUCGUG
rnacentral:rRNA from 1 species